UACGAAGGGGGCGAGCGUUGUUCGGAUUUACUGGGCGUAAAGGGCGCGCAGGCGGCUAUCCAAGUCAGGCGUGAAAGCCCCGGGCUUAACCUGGGAGGUGCGUCUGGGACUGGGUGGCUAGAGUUCGGGAGAGGAGAGUGGAAUUCCCAGUGUAGAGGUGAAAUUCGUAGAUAUUGGGAAGAACGACCGGUGGCGAAGGCGGCUCUCUGGACCGAGACUGACGCUGAGGCGCGAAAGCGUGGGGAGCAACAGGG
rnacentral:rRNA from 1 species